AGAGUUUGAUCAUGGCUCAGGAUGAACGCUGGCUGUGUGCCUCGAUACAUGCAUGUUGAACGAAGCUAAAAGUGCUUGCACUUUAAGACUUAGUAGCGAAUGGGUGAGUAACACGUACUUAACCUACCCCCAAGUUUGGGAUAACGUUUGGAAACGAACGCUAAUACCGAAUACGUAUUUUUAUCGCAUGAUAGAAAUAUAAAAGGAGCUUCGGCUUCGCUAGGGGAUGGGAGUGCGCUACAUUAGUUAGUUGGUAGGGUAAUGGCCUACCAAGACUAUGAUGUAUAGCGGGGCCGAGAGGCUGAUCCGCCACACUGGGACUGAGAUACGGCCCAGACUCCUACGGGAGGCAGCAGUAGGGAAUUUUCCACAAUGAACGAAAGUUUGAUGGAGCGACACAGCGUGCAGGAUGAAGGUCUUCGGAUCGUAAACUGCUGUUAUAAGGGAAGAAAAACUUUAGUAGGUAAUGACUAGAACUUGACGGUACCUUAUCAGAAAGCGACGGCUAACUAUGUGCCAGCAGCCGCGGUAAU
rnacentral:rRNA from 1 species